ACACCUGUUCCCAUCCCUAACACAGAAGUUAAGCCCCUCAUCGCCGAUGGUACUGCCGGGUUCGCUCGGUGGGAGAGUAGGACGGUGCCGACA
rnacentral:rRNA from 1 species